AUGUUACUAUUAUUAAUUAUUUCAAGCAAAUUAAAGUUAUUGUUAUUAACAUCACCAUCUGUUACUUCAUUAUUUUUUACAUUAACACUGUUAGUAAUACCUUCUUCAAGAUUAUUUAUUUUUUCUCCUCUUUUUUCUUCUUCUCCUCUUUUUUCUUCUUCUCCCCUGUUUUCUUCUUCUCCUCUUUUUUUCUUCUCUCUUUUGUUCCCCUUUUUCGUUUUCAUCUAUUUUCGCAUUUAAUAUUUGGUGUAAAGAAUUUUUAAAAAAAUUACCACUUAACCUAUCUAUGGUAUUUUUAUUCAAUUUACUAUAAUUAAUACUUCCUGUUUUUUUUCCACUUUUAUCUCUAUUUUUAUCUCCAUUUUUAUCUCCANNNNNNNNNNAAAAAAAUUUCAUUAAAAAAUACAUUUUGUAACAUAAAUGUGUUUUUAUCAUAAGAUUCAAAAAGGAAAAAUAUUUUUCUCUCUUUUAAUAUUAUUUUUGUACAAUUAUCAUUUGUGUCUAUUAGGUCAUUAUAUAUAGUUUGCAUAUUAUUUAAUGUUAAUAUUUUAAUAGUUUUUUUUAAAGUUCCAAUACUUUUAUUAUAAUUAAAAGGAUCAUAUAUUAAAUAAUUAUAUCCCUUACAAAUAUUAUUAUAUGUUGCAUUGGUACUGGAUAGUAUAUCUUUUGUACUAGUAUCGAUAUUUUUAUUUUUUAUUAUACCACUUGUUCCACUAUCUGUUGGAGCAUAACCAUAUUCAUCAUUGUUAUUUUCUUCAUAUAAAACUAAAGCAUUAUUCUCAUUUUCAUUAUUUUUGUCUAUAUUUAUAUUGUUUUCUGUAUAUGUAAGCUGUAAAAGAUCAUUAUUAUCAAAUGAAAAAAAAACAUUUUCUGAAUUUACAUACAGUUUUCCUUGAGCUAUUAAAAACUUAUGUACAGGUAUCAUAUUAUGUAAAAAAUUAUAUACAUGUACAAAAUUAGAUUUAAUAUUUUUUUCAAAUUUUUUAAAAUUUUCAUAAAAUUUAUUUUCUGUUAUAUUUAAAAAAUGGAGACAUUUAUUUUUUCUUUCAUCAUAAUCAACAUUCAUAUAAAAAUAUUUAAUUAGACCAUAUGUACUCAUCAAAUGUAAUGCUUUUAAUAAAAGAAAAAAAUUAUAAGGUAAAAUAUUUCCC
rnacentral:lncRNA from 1 species